UUUUAAACCAGCUAAGUCUGCAGCCAAACAUUGUCCUGCAUCAUUAGCAUGAAAUAUUCUAAUGCAUUUAUUAAUAAUUCAACAAUACAUCGAAAUAAAAAUCCAGAUAACAUAAAAAAUAAUUUUAUGAAGAGAAAUGGGAGAAAUGAUUGUUACAGUGGUCAAGAGUUUUCAUUGAAAAACUGUGAUAAUUUUCAUUUCCAAACAAUGAAUCUUGGGCAUUGUUUGAUAGACAUAGUCUUUAGACAUUUGCUUAAAAAUUUAUAAAAUAAUUGAUAUCUAACGAAGUCCAAAAUUAAAUUAAGGAAAUGAAAAUACUAAUCUAUAACUUUUUUGCUCUAUGAAUUAUUCUUAAUUAUUUCUUUUAAAUUAAAUUUAGUAAUUUUAAACUUUAUUUGUGAAAAAAAUAAGAAGCUUCAUUCUUUUUAUAAUGUCUUUAAUCAGAUAUCUCAUUUUGUAAAUUUUUUGCAUUUAGCUGAACAAGUCAAAAGUGUCCGCUGGUAACAGCUCAACAAAUAAAGUCUUGGCUCAACUGAUGUUAUUUCUUGACAAGAUUGGAAAUAAAUUAAAAACAAUGAUUUUCGAUCUUUGAAAUGUCUGAUCACUUUGAUGACAAUCCAGAUCCUGGUCAAAAUCCAAAGAAACCUGAAAAAUCCCCUGAAAGAAAAGACCCUCCUGUUCCUGGUCAAGAUCCUAAUAAACCUGAAAAGCCUCAAGGAAACCCUGAUGAGAAACCAUUGUAAAUAAAAAGUAUGUGAGUAAAUUACCUUUCAUACUCAAAAAAGAAGAAAUUACAAGAACAAAGUUAAGAAGAUGUUAGUUAGUUGUGAAGAAGACAUUCUGUUCAUUUUUAUUAUCAACGUAAUCCACAUAGUUUAAUAAAAAUUUAUUAAUUUUGUUAG